AAAACCGGAAAUGACAUAUAUUACAGGGGUGAAAAACACUAUUAACCUUAAUAAUAAUAAUAAAAAAACUGUAGUGAAUUUAAAAAAAAAAACAGUUGGGCUCAAACUGGUUAGAUCUGGAUCGUCUGAUGAAUCAGAAGGUCUAGAUCUAAUCACAGGAAGUAUCAUCACAGCCACUGGAUCUGAGAUCCAACAGUUAAAAGGAAAUCCGGUUUGAUUUAAAAAAAACGGUUCAAAUGAAAUAAAAACCGGUUUAAUAGCAAGUAUAUAAGCAAAUUCGGUUCACCAAACUUCAUUUCUCUCAAACCUUUCUCUCUCUAAACCGAAAAAACUCUCCCUUCUCUCUAAAAAAUUUCUGAAAAAAUUAUGACAUCUGGACUGACUGGGAUCCACAAAACUUAGACAAAACUCUUAAAAGGACUUAAAAGAAAAAAUAGAAAGGAAAACAAAAGUUAUGAAGUAGAAGAAAUUUCACGUGACUUUCUAAAACAAUAAAACAUAAUAAUAAAAAACAAAAAGAUUAGAAAAUAAAAAUAAAGAUAAUGACAAAAAAACAAAAAAAAAAAUUCCGUUCGGAAUCAAAUAAGGUACUUCAAAAUAACCUUCCUGCCGAAAUUUCGUUUGAAAUGAUUAAAAAGACGCGACUUAAAAAUACGAUUAGACCUUUUUAAAAUAACUUGACUGUUACGACUAAAAAGACUAUAAAAUGCGUUAUAAAAAUGCAGACGAAGUGAUUUUAAUUGUUGUAAAAAUGCAAGCGGGGACUUAAUUGCAAGAUAAAUUUUUUUAAAUGAUUAAAGACGAAAAAACACGAGUUUUAAAUGGUAAAAAACGAAUAAAAGAGAAUGUGAACUAUUUUAAAAUAUGGACAAAAAAGAUUUUAAACGGUCCAAAUUUGGGGUAUGACAAUAUGUAUCCCUUCUUCUCCGUGUUUGGAUGAUUAAUUGAUGGAACAAAGUGGAAGGGUCACAAAAGUAUCUUUAUUGGUUCUACAACCUGCAAUUUGAAAGGGAACAAAAAAACGAGGGUUCGAAAAGGGAAUGGCUACUCUCUUUUUCUUCCCUUUUAUAAGUUUGUAAACUUCCAAACAAUGAGAUUUUUCAUCAACCCUUUCAUUAUUUAUACAUAUAUAAAUAUAGUGAUAGAGUUAGAAAAACUGUUUUGACAAUUUGCAAGACUAGUUCGUCAUGCAUUUGGAGACUGAUAUACAUUGCAGGGAGGUACAUUUACGAUGUCCUCUUUAUUAGCUGCAUUUGUUGUUUCUCAUAAUGAUCAUCUUCCUACCGUUGUUUCUACAUGAGCAGCUGAGAGGAGGGUCGUUCCAGGUUCAGGUGGUGAAGAAUUCAAGUUUGCUUCCUUCAUUGCCGUGACCCUCAGCUGUGAUCAUCGUGUUAUAAAUAAAUGGGGCGAUUGGUGCCGAAUGGUUGAAAGCUUUAAAAGGCUGUAUUGAGAAUCCAUAAACCAUGUUGUUGUAAGUAGAAGGCUCCGAUGAAGUACUCAAUUCCUUUUUUUGAGUGAUAUUGUAUGCGGGAGAUAAGAUUUGAUCACCGGGUAUUUACCCAUUUGGGUUUGGUUGAUUGUAUCCCUGACCAAUUUUUUAUUUAAGUAUUUACUCUCUUACAAUAAAUUUUGCAUAAGUGAGGGUAGAUAAGACAUUGAAUUUUGAGUCCUGAAAUCAUCUUCUUAGAAGAGAAUCCGCCCUUUAUACAGGCAAACGAGGAUCUAACAUUUUCUUUGUUGGAUGAUGUGAAUAAUUGAAACACUAAUUUUAUUUUAUUGGCAUCUCACCUUGUGUUGAUCGAGUA